rnacentral:rRNA from 1 species
UACGAGAGGCCCAAACGUUAUUCGGAAUUACUGGGCGUAAAGGGCCAGUAGGCGGCCAACUAAGUCACACGUGAAAUCCCCAGGCUUAACCUGGGAACUGCGUGUGAUACUGGAUGGCUUGAAUUCGGGAGAGGGAUGCAGAAUUCCAGGUGUAGCGGUGAAAUGCGUAGAUAUCGGGAGGAACACCUGUGGCGAAAGCGGCUCACUGGACCAUUACUGACGCUGAUGCUCGAAAGCUAGGGGAGCAAACAGG